rnacentral:rRNA from 1 species
UACGUAGGGUGCGAGCGUUGUCCGGAAUUACUGGGCGUAAAGAGCUCGUAGGUGGUUUGUCGCGUUGUUCGUGAAAUCUCACGGCUUAACUGUGAGCGUGCGGGCGAUACGGGCAGACUUGAGUACUGCAGGGGAGACUGGAAUUCCUGGUGUAGCGGUGGAAUGCGCAGAUAUCAGGAGGAACACCGAUGGCGAAGGCAGGUCUCUGGGCCACUACUGACGCUGAGAAGCGAAAGCAUGGGGAGCGAACAGG